rnacentral:rRNA from 1 species
UACGUAGGGUGCAAGCGUUAAUCGGAAUUACUGGGCGUAAAGCGUGCGCAGGCGGUUAUGCAAGACAGGUGUGAAAUCCCCGAGCUCAACUUGGGAACUGCACUUGUGACUGCAUAGCUAGAGUACGGUAGAGGGGAGUGGAAUUCCGCGUGUAGCAGUGAAAUGCGUAGAUAUGCGGAGGAACACCGAUGGCGAAGGCAGCUCCCUGGACCUGUACUGACGCUCAUGCACGAAAGCGUGGGGAGCAAACAGGAUUAGAUACCCUGGUAGUCCACGCCCUAAACGAUGUCAACUGGUUGUUGGGAGGGUUUCUUCUCAGUAACGAAGCUAACGCGUGAAGUUGACCGCCUGGGGAGUACGGCCGCAAGGUUG